CAUGCUGUAAACGAUGAUUACUAGGUGUGGGGGGUCUGACCCCUUCCGUGCCGGAGUUAACACAAUAAGUAAUCCACCUGGGGAGUACGGCCGCAAGGUUGAAACUCAAAGGAAUUGACG
rnacentral:rRNA from 1 species